rnacentral:rRNA from 1 species
GUCUAUGGCCAUACCAUCCUGAACAUGCCCGAUCUUGUCUGAUCUCAGAAGCUAAGCAGGAUUGGGCCUGGUUAGUACUUGGAUGGGAGACCAUCAAGGAAUAUCAGGUGCUGUAGGCA